GACAUCACUAAAAAGGAAGUUGUAUGACUUCUUUUGAAGGAGAGAGUUCAGGUGAGAAAAAAAAGAUAAGGAGAGAAAUUCUUGAACUUUGAGGACAAAGGAAAAGAGAAAAAUCACAAAUUUAAAAAAAAAUUUUAAUGUCUGUAACUACGGUCUGAGACAGAUUCCAGGCAAGCAACAGAAAUCAAUGGAUGGUUAACAAAAAUAAUUAUGACGAUGAAUAAUAUAAAGUGAAUACUUCAUGCAACCAGACAAAAUAUUAUAAUGAGAAUUACACACACCUGUGAAACCUUUCACUGUGUCAGUUAUGAACACCACAGUUUGACUCCAGAGGAAUGUGACACAAAAUCGAUUUUUAUUUUUAUCGUGAUAAAGUAUUGAAAAUAUUCCUGAUUCCUACCUCAGUAUUGCUGUGAUAAAGCUGUCAACACAACGUCAAAAACUACAAAUUAUUCGCUUUCUGUGCCAGUUUGCAUGAAAAGAAGCCACAAGGACUAGAAAACAUGGAUAUACAUGCAGUUGUUUUAAGAUUACUAAAAAUAUCAUAUCCUGUUACAUUCGACAAAAAGUUGGGGCCUAAAAAAAGUUUUCUAGUUCCUGAUUUGAAGUUUCAUUGGGCAAUCUUUCUUGAGGACUUGCACUGUCAAAGUGUUAAACAAAGACUUUCUAAAGGGAAUGGAGAAGAGAAAAUACCAAGUCUUUUCCAAAACUGGAAAAAGAAAAGGAAGGAAAUAUGAAGAGAUGAACAGAGAAGAGGCCAGAUUUAGGCCUAAGGUAAAGGAUUUAGGCGCCAGCCACUCCUAAAUUUGCAACCUGCAUUUAGAUUCUGGCUUCCCACUAUGACCAAUGGGGAGACUCUUAACUUGCUUGCAUCAAUUUCCAUAUCUGUAAAAUGGGGAUGAUACCCUCCUCCCAGGCAUGUGGUGAGAAUUAAUUAGUGCUUGUGAAAGGCUUUGAAGAUGAAACAGCCUGUGUAAGUGCUAAGUAUUAUUAUUAUGAGAGAACUGUCAAGUGCUAUAAUUAAACAAUUUUAAGUCCUACAAUAUGACCUACUCCAAAAUAAUCAGGGCUCCAGGAGGGAAACGCACAAGCCUAAACUUUCUUCUCUCUGUGGACUAACAAAAGCUGGUAGGAACCCAGCGCCUGGGAUUUCCCAGUGCAGUAAGUGGUAAAUGCACAGUCCCCUUAACCUCACCACAAACAAUGUCAUGAAGGCAUUAGGACAGGUUUGAAGUAGCUUAGUGUUCAUGGAGAUAUAGUCAUCUAAAGGACAGAGGAAGAAAAGAAGACUCCAGACAUUUUCAACUACAUCAGACACACACACAGGAAAAAUAAGCUUGUCAGAAUGCUGUUUCCACUGCCAUAAGGAAGGGGAAAGGGUGUGUUCAAAUGAAGCCCUCCAUAACCUUUGCAUGCUGGUGACUUUGAGCACUUACUGCCCUCCACCUCCUGGCUGAGGCUUUCAUCCAUCUUCUUUCUUUCAAUUUAGAAAUGAUGUGCUUUCAGAGGAACCCUUAACAUUCCUUUGUGAUUUUUCUUCUGAAAGAACAACUGGUUAAUUCGUGUAAAUGCCCAUCUGUUCAUUUACAUGAGCAAAAAAGAGAAAGAUCUUACCAAUGAGGAAUGUUUAAAAACUUGACACUAACUUUUAGCAAAUGAGAAGAGAAUAUCAGCCCUAUUAUUUUCCUCCUAGUAUUUACUUAUAGGAACUUGCUCAAAACAAAAUCUACCCGUUUGUGCACGGGAAGAUGGUCAAUUCGUAUAAACCACAACCCAAACGACAUCUCAAAAUGAGAAGGAAUCUAUCUUAAUUUAGUGUGGAUUUCAAUAGUAGUCUUAUCAGACUAAAAAUAAUUCAUCUCUCUUACAAAGUCCUUCGCAUAACCUAAGGGACUUUUUAAGUAGAGUUAUUUUGAAAUCACUAUGUUCUAGAAUUCAUGUUUGUUUAAUGUCGUAAUGCCCGUAUGUAUUAUAAUUAAGUAUGAAAUGUGAAAGUCCUGAAUAGGACAGAAUUCCACAUUGUUACUGAGAGAUAAUUCAUCAACACAAAACGAACAAAAUAAAAUCUAAACUCAGAGCUUAAUUCUCUUUGGAAUGCUGGGGGGGGGGGGAAUAAAGGAAGGUGCAGAUCACUAGGAGAAUGUUUUCAAAUCAAUGGAGAUGAAUGCUGGUGGCUAUAACUAGAAGACAGUAGUGGAACGCUCACAGGAAACAGCUUACCAGAGCUUGAACGUGGGUCUCAUCUCCUCACAAAUGCCUAUUUGACAGAGGCAGCCAUUUACUUACUUUAGGCCUCAAUUUUUUCUUCAGAAAGGCUAGGAAUGUGGGCUUCUAAAUUACAGGAGCAUUGCGAAGAUUUCAUAGCAUAUAGAACUGUGUUCCUUCCUGGCCAGGAAGAACGGCAUGGUCUGUAAGUCAGGAAUGGAGGCAACGGUUGGGCCUGCCUCCCUGGCAUCUGUGCAGAUCCCGUCUGAAAUGAUAGCCAACACUUCGGGGUGGCAAGAACAGCUUCUAAUUAAUCCUCAACAGGUUACAUUGUAUUGAUUUGCUCCACAAAAUUACUAGGUAUGCAGAAAGCUAUGAGGGUACAUUUAGUGGUUAAUCAGACUCACACAAAGUUCUUUAGAGCAAAAUAUGAACCAAAGCACAAGACUUUAUUUGAUAAGGAGAAACUAAAGUCCACUAAGGCUUUCUGCAUUGGUGACAGCUAAACCCAUCCAUCAUUUAAUUAAUUUAACGACUACGUUCUCCAGUGCAACUGGUAUUGGAUUCUGGCUUAUGCUCUUAUUAUUAUUAUUAUUACUAUUAUUAUUAUUAUUAAUUAUUAUUAUUAACCUUUUUGGUUUUUGGAGACAGAGGUCAUGUAACCCAGCUGUCCUAUAAUAAUUUUCUAUUUACUUGAUGCUGGUCCUGAACUCCUAUUUCUCCUCCUUUUACUUCCCAAGUGCUAGGAUUAUAACAAACCCUAGGUUGAAACUCACUAUUUAUGAAAUAUCAUGGUACACGGUCUUCAGAUUUCAUAAGUAAUUAGACCUAAAAGGAAAAGAGGAAUGUGGACAGGAAGGACGAAGAAAACUACAAGAAAUCACGUUGGGCCACUUGAACUUGAAGAUGACUGACUAGACAGAGUAGAGUAGAGUCUUAUUUAAACACCUUGAUUCUCAGUGUCUUUCAAACUAUCCUCUAUAUCAGCAUGGCUAUCGUUUGUGUCCCUUACAUUAGUAUUUUAAAUAGAUUGGCUCACGCUCGUUACUAGAAGGAUCCUUCUUGCUCUUUUGCUUUCUUUUCUUGGGAUAGGAGUUAUCACACGAUAAACAUGGCGAUGACCAAAAACAUUGAAAUAAAUAACUGUAGCACGCCCUGAUCUAUGGCUCCAUGGUGUUUCCUUCUAUUGCUGCUAAAGUGAUCACCUGAGUGACUGUGCCUCAUAAACUAUGCUGCUCUUCCCUCUGUGAUGCAGCAUAUUACGUUGGAUGGUCAGAGUUUAAUAAUUGCUAUGUUUUUAGAUAUUUGUUUAAAUAGUACAAUCCUAUCUUCGGUGGAAUGGAACAUUGGAUGUUAUUUUCUCUUUUAUUUAUCCAUCUUAUAAUAAUAAACAUAAAAGUAACUCUGAAUGCUUACUGAUAGCAAAUAUGUGUGUGUGUGUGUGUGUGUGUGUGUGUGUGUGUGUAACUAUUUGAAACUAAAAUAAAAAUAAUCAGACAGGACCAUAAUAGCUACUGUAGUAUAUAUAAUGUUUCCCUUCAUUUAAAGAAAUAAGUACAUUAUCUAUAAAUAUUUACAUAAUGGAAAGUACACAAGAUUUAUGUUCUAAAUUGUGUUCAGUUAUUAUUCUUUAUAUUGAAGAGCAAAUGGGUUUUACAAAUUCCUAUUUGAUAUUUCAAAACUGAAAGGUAAUAUAUAUUCAAUAAAGAUGUAUCAUAGACACAAAAGACAAACAAACACAGACACACACACACAGAGAGAGAGAGAGAGACAGAGACGGAGACAGAGACAGAGACAGAGACAGAGGGUUCAGUUUUUAAGUGAAUAUUUCCAGAAAAAAAUGCUUUUUAAAAAUAUUCUCAAAUUAUGUAUGGCUACAAGCUUCCAAUAUGAGGAGGCACCUGUCAAUGUGGGAAAAUAUCAGUUUGCAGAGCCAUUUGUUAUACUUAUCCCAAUAAUUAAUCUCUUCCUUUCCUUAAAUUCCCUUACAUUUAUGCACAGAGCAGAAGCUCAGUCUCCAUCCUAGUUGGCUAAAACUAGGCCCAUACUCAUAAGCAUAGGCAAAGAGAAGUUACCAAAUCAUUCUCAGCAGGCACCCAACUCUUGUCUUCUUUUUGUUUACAAAGCCAAGUUCAAAUGCUUAAACAAUAAAACUGACAUUACACUUACUGGUCAACUGUAUUUAAAGUUUAUCACUGACAGUAAUUUCCCAGAAAUUUGUUCUUAAUCUAGCCUCCAAAUUACGGGAAGUUUACUUAAUUUUAUUUUUUAAUUAUAUUAAAUCAUUAAAAAGUCCCAUCAAACAGCAAGCCCUUAAGAGAUGCUUUUAUUAUCUAUAAUUUACUAAACCAACUUUCUAUGCAUCACUUUUAUUUUUAAUCAGAAGGAAAGAGAAAUAUUCUGAUUCUCUCUCUCUCUCUCUCUCUCUCUCUCUCUCUCUCUCUCUCUCUCUGUGUGUGUGUGUGUGUGUGUGUGUGUGUGUCUUUCUUUUCUCUGAGCUUUACCUAGGCAACAAGGAAUAAAUAGCUCACGGAUUAUUCUAUAAAGUGAUCAGUGAGUGAGUUUCUGUUGCCAGUUCUGGAUCUACACAUUGUUUGGUAGUCUGGUCAAUACGCGUACCACGUAUAGUUAAAUGUUCAGAAAUGCAGCAAUCCCCCUUGGGUAAUGAGGACUUGGAAAACAUUUGGACUUCUUUCUGGGGCCUCUGUCUGCUUUCUCUGUCACACCGUCCAUGAAGAGUGUCUCUACCACCCUUCAGCCUUACUCAGUCUCCAGCUUUUCUCUGUCUAGGAAGGCCUCACAGCAGAAAGGUAGCUGCCGGCAAGCCAGCUUUUCUAUGCACCAUUUGCUGAGUUCUCCUGCUCUAUCCUCUUGUCUGAAUGGAAUACCUAAUGCUUUACUGGAGAACUAAACAAUGACUAACAUGAACAUUGGAGAUAAAAGAACUUGCAUUAAUGCUAAGGAUCAUCUUUAAAAGAAACUUCUUAACAAAACAAUCCUCACCAAAAUAUGUCAGUACUCAAGAGUGGCCAUUUUAUACAUAAACGAUUGGUUUGGAGGCCUAAGGAUAUUGGAGAUUUUAGGUUUUAGAUUUGAGAUUUCCAAAGCAAGCAAGAUACAAAAGAAGAAAGCUGUCUAGACAAAUCACCUUGAAAUCCUCAACUCCAAUAAGAAAUUACUUCUAGCUGACAUAUUACUCACCCUUAGGUCUACCUAUAAUUAAUGUUUCAUGUAUUGGUAAAUAAGACUACAUUUAAAUCUGUGAAAGAAUUAGUAAGAAAUGAAAUUGAUUCCCAGUAGAGUCUGCCAUGUCUGAUUCAGAAUGCCAGUCGUAAUCAUGCAAGCUUCUGAUUGCUAACAAUUAAAAUCCUGUUCCCACCCCCUUUUUUCUCCUACUAAAUUAAAGUCUUUGUAAAAAAAAUUGUAAAAUUUACCCUGUCAUAUUAGUGACAAGUGGCACUCAGCUGGUAAAGUAGUAUAUUAAUACUGAUUACUCUGAUUAAUAGUACUGUAAAAAUUGGUUCAAUGGCUCUUUAAAAAAAUUUUUAGGAGAACUGAUGAGAGACAUUCUGAGUAGAAUAUAUAAUUGGGUCAUCACAGUCUAUCACAAAGAAAAAUAUUAGAAAUGUAUGAAUUAAUGUGAGCUUUUCUAGUUUGAAUCAAUAAGCUUAUUUCAAAUAGAAGAGAAUGUCAAAUGAAGUAUCUACCUUCCUUAUAUUAAGAGAAACCUUUAAGAAAAUAAAGCUCACAGCUUUUUAAAAAAAAACCAACCCUAUUAAAUUCAAGUGCUGUCAAUAAUCAUGCAAAUGAAUAUAGAUUUAGCAUUUAUAACUGUCAGAUGAGCCAAUAUUGAUUGUGGUUUGGAUAUAACUGUUCUCACAGAAACAUAGCAUAUUACAGAAUAAAAUCAAUACCGCAUACUGGUCUGAUAAGAGUGGGGAGGGCUUCUAUACAUAACAGUUUGCUUAUCAACUCAGCAGUAUUAAUAAAGCAUUGAUUCUUCUAGACCCACAUUUCGCAGUUAAGGAUCUCUCCUUUUGGACUUUUCUCACUAGUUCUCACUAAUAAAUACAGAUAUAGAAAGACCUACUCAAGUAGACUUUUCUGCCAAAGUACCUUAUUUAAAAACAUCUCUCAGAGAACCCACUCAAGCAUAAGAAAGAUUAAGGUAGACUGGAGUACUGAUGUAAUGUAAGGAACCCACCUGCUUAGGACAGUGUUUUCCACGGCAUGACUAUGUUGCAGCAGGAUGUGGUAAACACCCCUGUCUCCAUGGAUACACAUGGAUAGAUUACUGAAGAAAACUGACAAUUAGUAUAUUUGUAAUAAUGGAGAAAAACGGUAAGGAGGUAGCUUCGGGCUUGGAAACAGAAACUUCUAAAGCUUAACUCAGAAACAGGUAGAUUCUCAAGGAGGCACAAGGCUUUCAGGAAAGCAUCAAACAUCUCUGGAAUGCAGCAUCCUUAUCUGCAGAAUGGAGUUAACGAUAAUUGAUCUCCAAUGCUGAAGGACAUUAUGAAUACUGAAGAUAAUUUAUGUAAAGUACCACUCUGUUAACUAUAAACUUUCUGUUGUUAUAAACUCAGGUUGUCCAAUCUAGAAGCAGUUGCUCGCAAAAUGUUGACCUCUCAAGUUCUGGAAAUGUUCUACCAAGCCAGCAAAGGAGCUAUCUGUUAAAGAACAUCCAGUAAGGAAUUCUUGGCAUAGACUAGGGGGUUGUUCUAUUUGACUUCUAAAGCUGUUAUUAUCUUUGGAAAUAUAUAACUAUCCCAGAAGAUCUCUUCUGCUCCCUGAUUAAGUUUAACCAACAUUUACUGAGCUCCAACCACCAGACAUGCAAACAUUAACAAGAAUCAAUCCACGUCCUUAAGGGACUCGGCAUAAAUGGAAGAUACAGAAACAUUCACAAGUUCAAAUCAGCAUGGCACGUCUGUGAUAUAAGUUGUAGAAGUCUCACAUGUGGGAGGGCUUUCCUUAUGGACAAAAUCUCAGAGAGAAUCACAUCAGUAGGAUCAACAAAGGAACAAAAUGUUCUUGUUGGGUAUUAUAUAACAAACUAAGGACUCCAACAGAACGUGGGGCUUUGGAAAAGACAUAUACAUUGUCCAGCUGCAAGGCCCAGGACAAAGUGUAGUGCUGGAAACAAAAUGAGUGCAUCAUCACUACAAAAUACCUCUUAGAAUAAUAGAUAACAGCAAAAUCCAACAAAUUGACUGAAUUUUACAAAACUAAAGAAUAACAAACUAAAGAAAGCAUUUCAGGACAUUAUGAUCAUGUUUGCACAGCAUUCAGUGCUAAAAACAAUUGUUCUCCACCCAGAGUUCUUCUCAGGUUAUAAAUUCUCACUCUUCUAGAUGUCUCUAUAGCCUAUGCUUUUGUCCUCUAUUCAGUUUAGCUCACUUAAAUAUCCAUUUUUAAAAUCCUAUAUUUGCACAGUAAAUGUGGCAAACACUUUUGCAGCCAACACUGUAUACCUCAUGUAUUUUAUGUAUAGCCAACUGAGAAUCCAAAGGAGAAGUGCAUUCAGGUACAAAGUUUCCAGCAAAUGAAUGAAAUGGUUUCCAGUUUAAUUUUUUUCAAAGGACUAUUCUCUGAAAGGAAUUCCCUUACAAAUAUCGUUGUGCAGAAUAUUAUUACAUAGGGGGGAAGUACAAAAGUAAAAGGUGAUUUGUGAUCUGUGUGGGGCAAGGACAUUUACAAUACUCAGUGUGCCCCUUUCACAACUAGACUGCUAACACAGCAGAAAGGGCAGCCACUCGAUCUGCUCACCUCCCAGGCAUGCCUGCCUUUUGCAGGUGCGCCUCAAGGACUUCUCUCCCUUAUUCUUUGAAUCAUCUUGCAGACACUAAUGAGCAUCGCUUUUCAGCUUUAAUUAUUGGCCCCUGACAAGUCAACAUAAUAGGAAUCAGCCUAACCAAGCAUACUCCCCAGCGACUUGUUCAAUUACUCAGGUUGUGAUUCUCCAGGAAGGCUGAGCGGCUCCUAAUUUAACACUGUCAAAAAAAUAAACACGGAGAUCAUUUACAGUUUAUCUUUUGACCUUUAUGUCACCAAAUCUAACAAGAUAUCUUUUUAUAUAUAUUUUUUCUCCCCCUGAAUAGAAUCAGUGAGAUAAAUAUGGUGUGAGCCUGUUCCAAAGAAAAUUAAAGUUUCUGCCUGAGUCACACAGAAUGAAUGUGGUUGCAUAAUGCACUUCGCGUAAUCUAAAAGAUGAGAUGUGUUGGGGGAGUCUCUUUAUUUUGAUCUACUAUCUGGCCAUAACAUUUUAUUAGCACAUGUCAAAGGGAGACAGUCGCCCCACCACUUACAUAUAUAAACAGUUAUCAUGAAUGUAAAAUUAAAUUCACAUGAAGGGAAGAAUUUUUAUUCUCUUAUUUAUUAAUUUUGCAGUGCUUGGGAUGGAACCCAGGUCUAGGGCUUGCUAAUUUGCUGUGUCCUAUCUCUGCCCCUAAAGAAAAGACAUUAAAGCAUAAUUUCAACAAUUAUUUUGAAGUUUUUUAUGGCAAAUCAUAAGAAAUGUAAUAAAUAUUAUGAAAAUUGAAUAAUGCACAUUUAUAAUAAUUAUGAAUAGACCAUAAUAAAUCAACAUUUUGAACUUAGUAGUACAGGACAGAAAUUUUCUGAAUUAGUUUAGAUGAUGUAACAUCAACUGUAGCAUAUUUAAGCUAUGUCAUUAACAUUCUUUUACAAUUCUUAUAAUAAUAUGGUUGUUUUAAUAAAUUAUUCUUUUUUACAUGCAUACAAUUUAAAUCUUUCCUUUGUAGGAUUAAAUGAAAAUAAGUCCUUUGCCAGGACAUUUUCCCCCCUCAAAAAAAUGCUUACCUUCAAACUUUAAUCCUGGAAAUCCAGAGUAUAAGAUUCAUUCAAAAAAUGAUUAAUUAAAUUUGACCUGGUACAAUGGCUUCAGAACACUUAUUCUCAGAAUACUGGAGUAUAGAAAUCACUACCUAGUAGGGAAAGAAGUCACCCUGGAGACUAGACUGGAUCAUCAAAAUUUGUCACAUCAGCUACUAGCAAAAUCAAAACAAGUGAUUUAAUAGUGAUGUAGUACUUGUAACUUCAUAUGAAUAUCUGCAUAAAAUAUAUUUCUGUAAAUACAUUACAUAUGAUUAUUCACUAGAUUCUAAAAUCGUGUCAUCGUUAAUGCAAAAGCAAAGAAGUGAAGUCUGUAAAACUAAGGCAGCAUUCCUCAUCACUGACGUACAGUAUGAGGAGGGAUUUUUCUUGUUUUCAGAGCUCCAAGGAUGCCCAAAGGGGAGAACAAAGUCACAAACUAACAAAGAAAGCAGCUUCUCACUCCUGGUUGUCUGGCUUUCCAGCCCUAUUAAAGUCUUAACAUAAACUUGAGAACCUAAAAUGUACAAAAAUACUUCUACAAUCCCCCAUCCCCAACCCACUCAAGAGGCAAUCCGUAUACGAGAUCCAUUCUCACUCUCAAAACCCCAGAAAGCGAGGCACAGGGAAAAAAUUGGUUUAGGGUGACAAAAUUGAGCGUGUUUCCAUUUUUAAAUUUUCAACUGAAAUUUCCAUAGUUAAUAGUUUUAAAAAAAUGUCCAAAAUAAUUCACAUUCUGGCCAGAGAAAACUGCAGCAUGAUCUUGAAUACAAGCUUUUCAACAACUCAAAAAAGCACAGCUCUCAAAGUUUGGAUAAAUGGGAGACUUAUCAAUGGAAUGAGUAAUAGACUGAAAUACAUUUCAGUAUGGAGGCCAAGAAAGAGGACAUAACUUUUUAAAGUGAUUAGAGUAGAAGGCAAGUCAAUGGGGUGCUGAGAUAAGGGGCGACUGCUCCAGAAGGCACCGGUUCAGAGAGAAGGGCCUUUGCGAAGCAUGCCAGAAGAAGGAGAGAGACAGGAUGCCCAGGGGUAGAUGAGGGGAAGGACAAAGGGAGGAACAAAGAGACCAGACCAGACCAUGAAUGAAGCCGAGCAAAGGAGUAAAAACAGUGAUCUGCCUCAAGCACCCAGGGACUCUCCUUCCUCCUGUGGUUACAGAUCUGUUCCUAUCUCUUCCUCUGGUACCUGUGGGACUCUCACUCCCCAAACAUCCAAACCCAGGAAGCCACUAACAAGAUGUACCCGGCUCAUAAUUCAGUUUUCAAAGGUAAGGCUUGUCUGCACAGAUCACCCUCGACUACGGUCGAGUUUUAAAGGCACUUUUGUCUUACUCUCCUCUAAGAUUAGAAUUGUCACUUUCAGGAAAACACCAGGUAGGAUUUCAUUAUACUUUGUGUUUGCCAAAUCCUGGAGCAGACUGGGCAAAUAGAACAGAUUAUUUCAACAUUUGUAAUUUCCCUCUUCAACGUGGAGGUCCGAGAGAGAGAGAGAGAGAGAGAGAGAGGGGGGGGGGGGGCGGAAAGAGAGAGAGAAAGAAAAGAGAGAGAGAAACCAGUCAUUCGUAAGAUUCCCAACAUGUUAUCAAGCACCAGUGACCUUUCCCAAGGAUUUUUAACAAUCGGAGUUGUUUGGCAAGGCCUUCUUUUUCCCUCCAGGCUGAUCAAUUCCCUCCAGACAGGAGCAUGGGAAGCAGAAGGAGAUAAGGGUAGGACAAGGACAUCUGCAUAUGGCUGGUUGAGCGGAGCAAGGACCAGUCUAUUUCCUCUCUAUACACAGACAGCUCGUGGUGUGGAGAUGAUGCUAAGCUAGUCACAGAACUUUACAGAAAAGUUCAGAUUUCAAUGUAACCUAACAGCCAUAAUGACCCUACUCAAAUGUGAGAAAUUAUUAACCAACUGUCAAAAUAUGGGGAAACAAUACCAAAGCCUAUUGCUUCAAAGCAAUUAAUUCACCCGCAGUCUCAAGUUUCGCUCUUUUUGUAAUUGAGGCAUUUUCAAGGUUAUAGAAUAAUUAAAAUACCUCUUCAUUACAGAGAAAGCUGAUGGAAUCUACUAAAUUGUGAUGCUUGCUUUGGAAACAUUUCAAAUAAGCAGAGAGGUUACUAACUUGUUUACUAGAACAUAUAUUCAAGUUGCUAUUGUUAGCUGUACAGUGCCUCUGUAUUCAGUCCAGUGGAACGUAGUUCUAAUAUACUUCAAAUUGUAUCCUCUUAAUACACCAAACCUGCGCUCAUAUCUAUUGGGCUGGGUGAACAAGCUCCAAUCCUUAGGCACUUUGUUCACUGCCUGCCUCACUGAACAGGGUGCAGGUUUUGUAAGAUUAGAAAAACAACCUCCUGAAACAUGACCAUAAUAUUUGCGAGAGGAGUCUCUUCCACUCCAAUAGGAAUUUAGCAAAUUAAGCUGGGAAAUCAUUUAUGGUUCAGAAGUCCAUUAUUUCUAGUGAGUGCUAUCUUCUACUUUCUGUGAAACCAAGUAUGCCUACAUGCCAAACGUCCAAGCUGCCUAUUCAACCUGACUCUAUAUUUGUUUUUGAAAAUCUGUAUGCUGGCCCAUGAAGAGAAUCAGUUCAGUGGUGGAGUUUAUUCAUUACUUAAAGGACUGCUUCAGUCCUCUUGUGUCUCACAUUCAAGAGGAGAAAUCAUGACCAUCUCAAGCGUUCUCUUCUUCCUGUAAAGUGUAAAAGCCUGACCUAAAUCCAAGACGAGCAAGAUGAUCUGUAAAGGUCAAAUUCCACCACCAUUCUGAAUCCGAGAGUCAGAGCACAGUGACUAUUGUCAGUCUUACAUCUUAGACUUCCGGAAGAAAGAAAGACGUUCUGUUAAGAUGUCUCUGGUGUUAAGACGGCAGAAAGCAGUGCUACUUCUAGCAGGAAUGACUGUACAACUUAACUUUAUAUUUAUUUAAAACUAUGAAACCUUAUAAAUGAGACCUAUAGAUUCCUAAUUAGGAAGCCAAUACCUUCACUCAGUUCCUUCCUAUUUACCUUGAAUUAUUUCCCUAGCUACUCUGUUAGAAUACAGUAUAUGGUCAGAAAUAAAUUAGAGUGGCUUGGCUUGAUGCAGUAUUCACAACUAUAACGUCCAUUUUGUAAAAGAAAAGAAGGGUCCUUACCUAUCUUCAGCAAAAGUUUUCAAACACCCAGUGAUUAUAACGAGAAUACAAAACACGUGAGAACAAGCAGAAGGUGCUAUGUAAGCCUGGCUAUUCCAACCUUGUCUACAGAGAGAGACAAUGAGGAUUGAGUCAGAGUCUCACAUGCACACACACCCUGCUACUUGUCCACAGACGCCAAUGCUUGAAUUUGACAAACGGAAUCAUGUUCCUCAUUCUUCUCUGGAUCACAUAGUAUUUUGCUGAUAAGUCCAAAAAAGUCAGUCAUUUAUACCAUAGAGUUCACACCGUGGAUUCAAUAUAGUCUCCAAUAAUUUGGCCUGUACUUAAUUUUAUUUUGUUUAUGUUUUUGUCUUUGUUUUGUUUGGCUACAUCAUGGUAUGUUGUAUAGUCAGAAUCAGCAAUGUUUCAUGAUAUUGUUAGGGUCAUUGAGUGAUCUGAUAUCACAGAGAAUAACACCAUGGUAUAUUUAUGCGUAACAGAAUGCAUUAUAAAAUCUUACAAAGAGAUUCUUGCCACUUAUGUGAUCCAGGAUAUUAAUGUAAAUAAACAUGUUAUAUUUAUUAUCAGCUGUGGGUGAUAUCAGAAUACGAGUAUGUUUCCCAGAGUCAUCUGAAAUAUUCAUAAAAAAUUGAUACUAUACUAAUUACUGGUCUUCUAAUUUAAGCUUUUGGUAUUUGUUUACUACAUAUUUUUAAUAAUUCAUUAUAAUUUAGAUAACAUUGAAUUUAAAAAGUGUCAGUUUGAGGGUUAUAGAAAAGGAACUAAGUAAAAGUGAGUUCAUUCUAAUUUAUUCUUGGAUUGUCUGUACAACAAAUAUUUCAUGUUUAUUAGCCUGAAAGCUUAGGUAGAAAAAAAAUGUUUUACCUACCUAAGAACAGGGAUAUUUCUGUUUGGGUCACUAUUGAAUAACCAAUAUAGGAUAAGGCUUUACUCUAAUUAGACACUAUUAUGAGUUUAAUAAUUAAGUGAGUGACUCUAGGCUCAAUGCAUUUGAGGUCAUUAUAAUUACUCCAUUAUUGAGUUUAUACAAGAGAUAAACAUUGAACAAAAUUUUCAAGCAUUUUUAAACUCAUAUAAAAUAUUUUUAUAACAUUUUAACCUCCCUAUCUUUAUAUUCUUAGUAAGAAACCAAAUUGUUACAUUGUUGGUUGCAAAAGUAGGCCAUGAAUGGGUACACUGUCUUUUAAUCUUUUAAAUAGUUGCUUUGGGUAGAUUGUAUACUUUUAUAUAGGUACCCUGUAUGUUAAUUGUAGAAACAUUAAGCAUUUUGCAUGGACUGCUUUGGAAAGCAUCAGUGGAAACAGAGGUACACAGACCAGAAGCAUUCAGUGACCUAUACUUCAAGAACAAUGAACAAUGACCCAGGUCAACUGCGUCCACCUUAAUGCCAGUCAUCUCCGGUUGUUUUAUUUUUAACUAGAACAAAACAGCCAGCAUUAACUCUCAACUCAUUUGUGAGAGGGAAAAAAGGGAUAAGGGUAACCCUUCAAGAAUCUAAAAACUCAACUUCUACAAAUCAUAAAAUAGUUCAGAAAAAGCAAUAUUCUAUAAUCAGCCAUCAAUAGCAGGCUCUCCCAGAAAAAGAUCCGGGAAGAAAUUUUUUUAUUUAGAGUCUUUGAGACAUUAAUUGGGCACAGAAACCAUUGCCGAUGAAUGCCUGACGUUAGGAAAGAAAAGAAACAAAUUCUGUUUCCAUAAAAUCUAAACAACCAUGUGGCCAAGGUGUAAAGGACUUGUUUAAACACAUAGGCUACUUUGUGCCUUGAAUUAUUUUGAACAUUCCAGGGAACUGUUGUUGCAUCAAUUUUAGAGAUGUCGCAAAUAUAAAGGCACGUGUAUUGCGAAACACUCAGAGGAAACUCUGAUAAGCACUAGUGGUAAAAGCAUUGGUGUACUGAUUAUAUACUGCCUGUCAGGUGCAGAGGACUAUCUCUAUCAACUCUGAUAGAGGCACACUCAAAACCAUAAGGCACAAAGGUCUGAAGCAGUCAUACAUGUCUAUUUAUGUGUUUAAAUGACAUGCUAACAAAACCUAAACAUAUCUGGGAAGAGGCACUCUUAAUUGAAACUAUCCCUCCAUAAGACUAGCGUCACGAAGUCAGUGGUGCAUUUUCUUCAACAGUGAUUGAUACAGAUGGCCCCUGAUGUCUACGACUGUGCUAACUACGGUUAGGUGGUUAGGGGGUCCUGGGUGUUAUAAGAGAGCAGGCUGAUCAAGGAACAAACAUUCCUCCAUGGCUUCUCUUUUCCUGUCUCUGGGUUCCUACUUUGAGUUCCUGCCCUGACAUCCCUUACUGAUAGACUAUUUCCUAGAAGAUUAAGAUGAAAUAAAAGUGUUCAUCCAAAAGUAAAUGAAUAGAUAAUUAAUUAAUUAGUUACUUAAUUAAUUAAUUAAAAAUGCUACUUAGCAGCCUUCAUAGGAAGGAAACAUAUGAAUGUCUAAUUCCUAUGUCAAUUGUUGAAAUAACAAUGUCCAACAACUUAGCAAAAAAUGUCCUCCGCCAGUCAGUGACACCAUGUGACCUCAGCUUAAAUGCAGCAAUUGGUAUCAGGAAGUCAGGAAUGCUAACAACACGUCGGACCAUUUUACUGCUCACAUUCCCUAUGUUACCUAUUUACUGCAACUCCAAGAACAAAUUCGCCAGCUUUAUGAUCACAGAGAUGAAGGUAGCAUUGGCGUUAACCAUAGACUACAGCUAUGCUUGGUUUGUACAAACACCGCUCCUUCUAGCUCAGUGUUUCACCACAGUUCAUAAAUGAAAGUAGUCCUGCAGUAUAAAUGAGGCAUGUGUGAGUAGUAUGCCCAGUUCUGAAACGUUAUAUCUUACUUUUCCUAUUAGCAAAUAUUAACUUAAUUUCUGGUCACCCAAGUGCAUGGCUUAUCUUCCUCAACAAACUCCAAAUACUAGAAGAAGACCGGGUUGAACCUUGGCCAUUGGUGCAAACAGUCUGUGCUUUCCACAUACAUGUGGUGGGCACCAGGCACGCCUACAGGGAAAUUUCAUUGUACUGCUCAGACUUAUAAAGCCAUAUUCUUUAAAAUCAGUUAUAGCAGAAGAAGGCUGGUAUCUUGAUCUCCUUUUCCUUAAUACUAUUUUUCCCUGCUAAAUGAUUCCAAACUUUACUAUCAACAAAAGGUGCAACGUUGGAAUAUGUCAAAUCAACACUUAAGAAAGUACCCAACACUGUGGGAUAAUCCAAAGAGAAUGUUCCCUUCGGUGGCCUUUGGAUUACAUUUGAUUAGGUGGAACUUGGGUAUGUGGAUAAAGGGUCAAGUACACACUCCUAGAACAAGCAGAAGAAAGAAAAUAUAAUUAAAUGUAUUAACUAGGUGGUCAUCCAUAAUAGUACAACACUAAAAUAAACUACAAUGUUAAAAAAUAUUUUUCUUUUUUUAUUGAAAAUAUAUUUCAGGGCUGGAGAGAUGGCUCAGUGGUUAAGAGCACUAACUGCUCUUCCGGAGGUUAAUUCCUGAGAUCAAUUCCCAGCAACCACAUGGUGGCUCACAACCAUCUGUAAUGGGAUCUGACACCCUCUUCUGGUGUGUCUGAAGACAGCUACAGUGUAGUUAUAUAUGUAAAGUAAAUAAAUAUUAAAAAAAAGAAAAUAUAUUUUUCCCAUACAAUGCUCACUAAUCACAGUUUCCCAUUAUUCUGCUAUACUCAGAGACUGGUAUCUUGUCCAGUUAUCAGAGAGGUUUCCUCUGGCAGCAGAUGGGAACACAGGCAAAGAUCUACAACUGACAUUAGGCAAUGACAGAGUCUAAAUUAAAGAGUCUCCAUUGGGUCCCUCCUUGGAGCUUAGGGAACCCUGGGGAAGUAGAGGGGAUAUAGGAGUCAGAAGGAAAAUACCUUUUUAAAAAGGGAACAUUUUCGGGUUGGGGAUUUAGCUCAGUCAUAGAGCGCUUGCCUAGUAUGCGCAAGGCCCUGGGUUCGGUCCCCAGCUCCGGGGGGCGGGGGAGACGGAACAUUUUCAAUUGCUUGUACAACCAAACUAACAGCUACCCCCUUAAACCACAGCAGUGAAGGAAAGCCAAGCAAUUGUUUACUGACAGGUCUUGCCCAACAUAACCCUACAGGUUUAAAAACUUAGGUACAAAGACUUAACUAUCUGUGUUGCUGUAUAACUGCCCCAAGAGUGAGAAGCAGUGAUAAUAUGGCGGCGAGCCUGAAAUAGUGCAAACAGGCCCAGCAAAAGACUGCAGUACCUUAAAGUCUCUCAGAUGGCAGGCCUGACAAGCCACCAUGACCUUUUAAAUAGAUCCAGUGGGGUAAAGUGAUGCUACUCGAGUUGGGGCAAUUAAAAGUACUCGGGUGAAGUAGGAAGAUGGGGUGCUACAUGUUAAACUCUCAAAUGUUUAUACAUUUAAAAAUCUGAUUAUUGAAUGGAUUAAGAAAAUACUAUUGUAUAUAUUCCCUGGAUUUUUAAAUACUGUUAAAAUUUUCAUAUUAAAAAAUACUUGCUAGUUUGGUACUUGAUACAAAUUUGUAAUUAUAGUUGUCAUGAUUAAUUCUCCUUCUCCAAACUGAAUAGUAAUUCAAGUCUAUACAGUGGUUAGUGUACCUGCUGGGGAUGGGGGAGUGGAUUAAAAAAGAAAAAAGCUAACCAGUGUUGAGCUGUAUUAUAUUUAAAAGGACAAGAGAACUUUUUUUGUCACCUUAGGUACAACUUGGUUAAAACAAUGUUCUGGGAAAUUAAUAUGUACAUCAUUUGGAAUGUUCUCCAAUUUUCAAGUAGAAGGUACUGUACUAAUAUAAAAAUACUUGUUCUAGGUCCAAACAAUUAAUAUACUUGCUAAAUUUAAGCAGGGGCAAUCGCUAUAUCCAAGUAUGGGGAUACGCAAGUUUCCUACUUUCUAGUAUAAUGUAGACAUAAGCUGUGAAGGAAAGUAUAUGGUUUCUAUGAGUGCCCAUAUACACCCACACAUACAUAUAUGGAUAUAUGUGCCUGUCUAUGUAUAUGUGUGGCGUGGGCAGCUAUAUGGUUUUUCUCCAUUAGUUUCAUUGCAUUGACUAGGAUUUGCAUGAAAGGCUGCUGUUCCCUAAGGCAAAUGCAGUGACUAAGUGGAUUAAAUGCAAAGCGACCAGCCUCAACAGGCACAAGACAAACAUUGAAUCAAAAACAAAAAAUAAAUAAAUUAAAUUUGUUAACUAUUGAUUUAUCCAGUGAUAACCGAGUAAUUUCUAAUAAACAGACAAAAAUCAAAGCAAUAUGCCCUCCAAAUAGUCAUCAUUAAAAAAAAGAGGAAAAGAGCCUCCAAGAGCCCUUUGCAGGUUCCAGGUGAGGGUGUGCUCCGGAAAGAGGGAAAAAAAAUCUCCCUCACUUCUCUGUUGGCUGCACUUUCUUAUUCACCACUCUGAGCAAAGCAAUUUGAUCCUGGUUUCUGUAGCCAACCUGGUUCAGCAGGAUUUCUCACACACCCUGAACAAAAGGCUAUUCCCCCUUACAAAGUACUUAGCUCAGAUAUUUGUCAAGAUUGAAUUGAUUGCAGCCAGAGGACUGAGCUCAAACCAUGAUGUGAAUGUCUCUUCCCCUGGUCACUAAAUCCCUACUUUGGUUAGGAAGAGGAGGGCUGGGGAGGUGAAAACUUCAUAAUGUAUCAUUUCCUCUUAUGAAUAUGUAACAGUUAAAUGAGGGGAAAUAGCUCACAGAAACUUAAGGAAAGUAAUAUACCUUUUGUUUGUUAAUUUAUACUUGAAUAUCUUAAUUCAUCAAUCUCAUUGUAUGAAUUUAUCUUAACAUAAACUUUCUGUGAGAGCAAACCCCCUGACUUUUAACUUGUAGCCACAGGUCCUCCUAAGCUUCAACUCUACUCACGCAAGUCCCCUGUCAUAACACUUAAACUCCAGCUGAGGUAAUAGGAGUUAUGAUAAGCCGUGCAAUGAUAAUGGUAUGGCUGGAGAAAUGGAUGCAACCUUGAGUUUAUUUAACAUUGCAGUGGUAAAACACACAAAAUCUCUGGACUUGUUCAUCACGGCACAGAAAAUACAUGGCAGUUUCCUUUGUAGUGACAUUCGUGCUUCUGCCCUGCAAAGCCUCCAAAGAAGCAGAUGUAUCCCAGGCCCUGCUCAGACAAGGCGGUGGUCACCACCAUUUAAGAACUGCGCCAGCGAACGCCAAGGAAAGUUUCCGUGUUAGUAAUUUAUGAUGAAUUACACUCUGCAGUGGAGGCUAGAGACAAAACAACGUGAUUGAAUAGGAUAACUCAGCUUCACGUGCUAGAAACAAAAAGAGGGACUUGGAGGAUGGGCCAUUAGGGAAAGAAAGGGUUUGCCACACAAGCGGAUCGCAAUUUCAAUUCCCAGAACCCACUCAACAAGUAAGCAUGGAGACCCACUUGUACUCGCAGCACUGGGGAGGCAGACACAGGGAUUCCUGUGUAUACUCAGGCAACUAGACUUCUCUGUUCUGUUUCCUCUAUGCUAGAGAUCUGUGUGGAAAGACAAAGGAAAACAGCACAAACAACAAACAAAUGAACAAAAACAAACAGAAAAUAAAAUGAAAAAAAUGACUUAGGAACAGUACCUGGGUUUAAUCCCUGAGUUCAAUAUGCAUAUAUACACGUGUGUAUAUGCAUACAGAUAUGCUGCUGCUUUCACAAAGUAUUUUUAAUCCUACCUUAGGUACUUCUAACUACCUUAGGUACUAUUUAUGGACCUUAGGUACUAUUUAUGGACCAAUCUAUCUACCCAUCUAUUUAUUUAUAAUUUUCCAAUGUGGACAUGUUCUACAUCUGUCUGGUAUAAUUGAUUUUACAAGUUAAAAAUACAUAUGGUGUAAUUGAUUUUGCAUAUAUAUAUAACUAAAUAUAUAUAUAUACUGAAUAUAUAUAUAGUAUCUCUAUUACUAAAUUACUAGAAGGAGAAACAAUAGCAAGGACAACGACCCAUCACGACUGUGUUGCUUUAUGUAGAGAUAAAUGACAAAUUUAUUUCACAAAGUGGACAAUAUGGUGACAGAUGGCUUUGGGAAGCUUGAAAAUAAUUGGUGUAUGUUGAAACAGCUGAUAGUGCCCAUUACCCAUACUGUAUGGACAAUCAAUGAAUUCAUUCCAACUCUUGGUGCCAAAAUGCUGAACAUGACCAAUCCUCUAACUGUAUUGGAACCCCAGGUUUGUGAUCCACUCCUGCAGCAGACUUGAGUGUGGGAAAUAUGCCUAUCGACAGCACCUUAAAAAUUUACAAGUCACCUGCAUUUGUACUUCUUUUGAGGAAAGAUACCACUUCUGGGAUCAACACGGGACCCAAUGUUAAAAAAAAUCCAAUACCUUGCUUUUAUCAGCUUUUAAGUAAUAGCAAAUACUCUUGAUGUUGAAAAGAAGACCAGAGAAUAUCAAAUAUAUCUUAAUAUUUUGUAUUAAUUAGAGUCUACAGUAAACGUGUGAGCUUAUAAAAAAAAAGACAAGUAUAUGAAGGCUACGUUACGCUUACAAGCCAUUUGCUCUGGGGAGACGGGAUCAUAGGGCCUAGUUUGUCUGUAUAAAUUAAGAAAAGAUUCAUCUGAGUGCAGUUGAAUGUGAAGCUAUGAUGGUGAAUCUUUAGGCAGACUUCUGACCCUCGGGUGUGAACAGGGACUUCUGCUGACAAGGGGAAAGUGGCUAAGCAACACAGACCAGUGUGAACUGUUUGCUGGGCGAGUGCUGACAGCCUCAGGUGACAGGUGGUUUUGCUUUAUAAGUUCAAACAGCUCUCACAAGUCCUUGUUUUCCAACACCAGCACUUGUCAGGUUAGCUGUCAAGGAAAUCCAAAAUUAUUUGCAAAACUCCAACUCCAUAUUCUCUUGGUAAAGGCUGACACAGCCUCUAAAAAUGAAGAAAUUAGCACAAAAAGUGCCUCCUCCUACAAAGACGUAAUCAUAAAUACAGUAGCAUGGGUCUUUUAUUCGGUUGCUUUGGGGACAAGAUGACCAUAUAUUUUUUUUAAUUUACUUCCUAAAGACAUAGGUGUUUCCUGGUUUGCAAUUGUUUUUUUUUCCAUUUGAGAAGCCUGUAUUUCCACAUGUAUAUUAACAUGCUCCCUGAAGCACUACAUAGUAACUGUUUAAUCUACCAGAUUAACUCAGUGUCUGCAGUUUGGUGAAAAUGUAGAAGUUGUCUGUCCAAAGUGCCCUGUGCCCUGUUUGAGACAGCAAUCCUAUGAAUAAAAGCCAUAUGACUGGGACAGAAUUUUUAUUAAUUGUCUUAGCUACUGGAGUAAUUUGCCGAUGAUAGCCAAAACAAGCAUUUGAUACAUUUAAAAUAACAGCAUGAAGAAAUGAGAAACAUCAUGCGUCAUAAUGCUCGUUUUCCUUAAAGACAGCAUGUCUUAUCUCACUGAACUCUAAGAAUUACUAACCGCUUUCUUAAAAACAUAAGGGAAAGAAUUUCCAUGUUCCCAUAUGAAUUAUGCUGCCUACAUAGUCAUGGGCUUUACUUUUCGAAUGUUUUAAAGCAAGCUAUAGCUGAACUGUGGACAUAUGUGUUUACCCAAAGCCUCAUUUAAGGUUAGCAUGUGCACUUACUUUGGGGCAUGGAAUGCCAUUGAGGGAAACAUGUGAUUCUGACCAAUGGUGCACACUGACUAAGGGCUUAGAGGAUAAUGGGGAAACUUCCAGCAAAUGGAGGAUCCUUGACAACCUUUUCAGACAGACAGUUUGGUUACAUCAUGAAGUCACCAAUCUGACUAGUCAUAGUGUUGGCAUCAGGAUCGUUCUUCCAUUAAAACCUCUCCAUGUGGAACCGUGUUGGCCCGUUGUGUUUUCUCCAAAUGGAAGCCGAGAUUUCUACCCCAACACGUAGACCAUGAGAGAAACCCAAACUACAUGGCACUUAACGAAGGGGUAGUGCGGGCAGUCCUUAUGCAGCGCUGACUGAGGCUUCUGUUAUGUUAUUUUUUCCUCUUUUUGGAAGGGGCAGAUGAGAUUUUAAGGCCAGAAGAAAUGUAGAGGAUGACAUAUUCCCGAAAUCAGGGAAACAGAGAGAAGAAACCAGAAUGCCAUCACUUCAGUACUUAUACAGACAAACAUCAAAAUACAGACAACAUCACUGCAGUGAGCAGUGGCACACGCAUCUUCUCACACUCUAUAAAGCUCCCAGAUAGCCAAGAAAGGGUCAAUAAAUCUGGAACCACCAUAUAGCUCUGCUUUUCUAAAAUGUUUUGUCAUAACUAUGUUUUUCCGAAAUUUAAAUACUCAAAAUCGAAUCGGUUCCUAAAUCAUCAUAAAAAUGGUUUUGUGAAUGAAAAUCAGAUGAAUACUGAAAAAUUGACUCAAGAUGCUAAGACAGUCCUGCUUUCGCCUCUGGGUGAAUCACUCCUUUACAACUGAUAUCCCUGCCUCACUUAUGGGCCAGCGUUAUAUCAGCCUACAUCACCUAGGAGGCCUUAACUCAUCUGAAAGAAUGUAUAUUUUUUCUUAAUAUUUUCAAUGUCUUUAGCCGUUAACUCCACUGAAAGAAAAGGCUGGUUGUCACUACCAAAUUGCACGUAUCACUGACAGCCAAGAUGUACUUGCUCCAAAUUCAGAGAUGGAUGGACAAAAAGAUUCACCACAUGUUGAAAAUUAGUGGUUCUAAUAACUGCUAUCAAGGGAAUAAUACAUCAAUUGGACAGUGAUAUUCAGCAUAACAGUUUCUAGUUACAGACAUAUUUUUCCCACAUGUUGAUGUCUUGUAUCUAUCUUCCUUGCUUAGCUACUACAACCUAAGAAAAUUCUGAAUAGACACCUUGGCUUUUCUAAUCAAUGACUGACAUUAGAAAAGGGAGAACAGCCAAGCAUUACGUGCCCACACGUGCGGGUACAUACAUUUUACCACAGAAACUCCCCUUCUAGGAAAUAGACCAAGAAGGGUCUGGUAAUAAGACAUUUUGACAACACCAUGUAUAAUGAAAAAUUGCCAAGUUUUAAGUGUAAGAAUGAAUUACAACUCUCUGUCCCAAGCCUUCCUAUGUAUCCAAAACAUAUUGAAGGCAAAUGCAGGAACUCAAAUUUGGAAUAUGAGAAAGUGACUUAAAACUGCCAAGCGAUAUAAAAUCUUCUAAUGGCCUGCAACGAGUAACAUUGUCAAGUAACAUACCACUUGCUACCAGUGACCAAGCAGUGACACUUCCUGAGCUGGGUGGAGGAGUCACAGUUAUGCCACAAUCUGCAAAGCCAGUGUGAGUCCCUGAACUUCCUGUUGCUGCCUUGGAAAGACAACAGAGUCAUCCUUGCCCUCUGUCAGCCUUCUUUCUUAUUACAGCAAGUAGUCAGAAUGGACAGGAUAACUAGAUGGAAAGGGUGUGGAGUUUUGAGUCUUUGAAAGGAGACUUUUCAACCAGGUACACUCCCUUGGAGACCAUAAACUCAGCCUCAUAUUAUAACUAAGUUGCAAUGCUCAAAGGAUCAACUAUAAUGAUGCUUCAGAAGCUCACCUUCCUCCUCAUUGCUACAGAUCAUCAUUUACUAACCCUAAUGGUAAAUCUCCUUUACUCUUUUUCUAAACUCCGCAAAACUGUUACUUUGCAAAAUACAGCAGGUCAUUAACAUAGUCAACAAAUGAGCAUCGUGGAAAAGAACAAUUUAUUUCUUCAGUUUUAGUUCUUUAUCUGAAAAGGCUUAUCCUUCAUGUUUUACUUUCCGGACAAAGAAAAUGUGUCAUUGCUUUUAAAAAAUACCACAGAAAGACUUUAGGGGAAAAAAUGCAGCAUAGAAUUGAAGUUUCAUACAAUUCUGCAGCUUUACGUAGACAUAAGAACCUAAAGAUCCUACAAUUUCAACUACAUCAACAUCUAUACUUGUUGUGGGAGUACACGUCAAUAUAAUCCUGAUGAAAAUACUCCAAGACUUCCUACAGCAUUCCAGAUUGAAAUAGCAUCUACUGAAAUAGACUUGCCUGCCAGUCUGAUUUAGCAUCUCACUUCCCCUUAUCAGCAGAUGGUAAUACACCAUUUAAAUCCAUAUGCCUUCCAUAGGCAUAGUUCAAGUGCAGAAUAAAAAGAAGAACGAACGUUUGAAAGCUAAUCAGAUUAGCCUUUAAGUGAAGAAAGUAACAAAGUGGAAUUUCAUUUCCUGUAAAUGACUUUUACUACAUCAUGUUUAAAUGAAGGAAGGAAUUAUCAUCCCUGUAAACCACCCAGAUGAAAAUAACUCCAUAAGAUAAAUCUUAGCAAAAGGCUUUCUUGAACUGGUUAAUUUUUCAUAAAUCUAGACUCGACACAGAUCCCAAUAAUGAUAGGAAAUGAACAUAAUACCAGAGAAAGGCUAUAAAUGCAGCCACAGCACAGCAUGAGGGGUAAAAACCAUAACAAUUUGCCAAUUUUAUAUCCAUGUAUCUAACUCCUUUCCCCACACUGUUUUCGGAAUUCGGUCAGGGCGGAAAGAUGCAGCCAGUAGGGUUUCCAGUUCUGCAGAGAUAACCAGUUCCUUUAUGCAUCUCAUCUAGGCAAAGGCAUUAGGAUAACGGGCUGGUUUUUCAGUAUGGACACAUUCAGGAAAGCUUUUGAAAUCUUUCUAGCUUUGUCUUCCAUUCUCUACAAUAAGUCUUAGAUUCUAAUCAAUCUCUAAAGAUUAAGAUCAACAGUCGCAUGCAGAUCUGUACUUAACUUGAGACUAGCCUUCCUUAGAAGGGAAGGGACAGAAGAAUCAUGAAUCUUCCUACACAUUUUAGGUUCAACAGACAUAAGCAUAUCUUGGAUAAAUGAAUAAUAUAGCUAUGUUACAGAUUGAUUAAAUUCAAGAAAGGUGAAAUCUAGAUUAAGUGUGUAAGUACAUAUGCGUGUGUGUGUACGUGCAUGCAUGUGUUGGUGUGUGUGUGUGUGUGUGUGUGUGUGUGUGUGUGUGUGUGUGUGUGUGUGUGUGUACAUGCAUGUUCCUCUGGUAUCUUUGUCAAUCACUCUCCACCUUAUUUCUUGAGAAAGACUCUCUCAGAAUCUUGGGUUCACCUUUCAAUUUGGCAACAGUUGACUGGAGAGUGAUCCAUAGAGGAUUCUCAUCUCUACUUGGAAAUGCAAGACCCAUGGGCUUUUCACAUGGGUGACAGGGACUCGGAGUCAGGCCCUCACACCUGUGCUAUGUCCAGUUUACCAGUAAAGUCAUCUCCCUAGCUCCUGAGCUUCCUUUAUAUAAUACAAAUUAUCUAGUAUGAAGGGAAUGAAAUUUCAACCAUUAUUCUUCAGAAAGACAAAUCUUUUUAGAAGUCAUUGUAUCUUUUUAAAGCCUAAACAUUGCUUCUUUGCAUUCCAAUGUCAAAUUCUGUGAGCACUAAGAGUUCUGCUUCACCAGAUAAAGAAAAGAUUUCAACUUAAAAGUGUUCUGUUAAAACCCAAAUGAUAUAUACUUUUAUGCAAUCUCAGGAUUGCUACAAUAAUAUUUUUAUUUUUAUUCCUUAGUAACAUAUUAAAAUACUAUAUUAUUGAAAAGAAUCCACAUAAGUAAUUUAUUAAUCAUUCAGUCUUAAGAAAAAUUGAAAUAUAAAUCAACUUACAAUUAUAAACAAAAAGAAAAUUACACAGGCAUUAUGGUCAGCUUUGCACAGUAAGUAAAGUGUGAUCCAAUGUAGUGGCUUAAUGGACAAGGAAACUUACUUUCAAUGCAGUUCACCAGAGUUUGAUCCUGGACCUAAAUAGUAUGCUGAAGUUUCUUUCACCCUUCUUACAAGCACCAUGGACUGACUGACUUACACACACACACACACACACACACACACACACACACACACACACACAAAUAAAAUGUAAAUAAAAUGUAAAACUGCCUUUCUACAUUUUGAAAUAUGCAUAUGGACUUCUCGAUUUUAUCCAAUUAAAAAUUGGUUGAUUCUAAACUUAAGGAAGAAGCAAGGAAAAGAGAGCUAGCGUGAGGCACUAAUAAGAACAUGGUACAGCGCAUCAGCUCUGAAGAACUCACAGCUCUGACAGGAAAAAAAAUUAAAAAUAUCUGCACUGUAAGAGCAAGCACUUGCAGUUUUCACAACUGUGCUCCACUAGAUCUCAAACUUGUCAAAUAAAAAGCCCCUAGCUUUCAGAAGGACACACACACACACACACACACACACACACACACACACACACACACCCUGGCACGCAUGCAUGCACCCAUCCACACACAUACACAUAUUCACAUACAUAUACACACAAGCAUAUAUACAUACACACACAUAUUUGCCUAAAGAGGCUUUAUUUCAUGUCCAAAAAAGAAAAAAAGAAAGAAACACCUGCAUUAAAUGCAACAUAAAAUUGGUAAAGACCAGACAGUUCAAGGAGCUCUUUUUACUCCACUGCAUAAUUAAAACCUCCGUGUUGUUAGAUAAAACUAGAAAAGCCAGAAAUUUUGAGUGUGACUCAAAAUAUCAUGUGGUAAUAUCCAACCCUUGAAAGGUAGAAUGUGUUUGAAUUGGUCAUGGGGUCUAUGCUGUUGAGCCCAAAUAUAAACCUUGAGUCCAAGUCAACCAUUCCAUAUAUACGAAGACUUUUGCCUCCCUACAGCUUGGCUAGAUAUUAUGAAGCAAAAAUAUGUUGACUAUUUCAGUGUGUGGGGUUCAUAGUCCUGCAUAUUUUGAAAGAGCCACUUAAAAGCAGUCGAGAUAUAAAACUUAAAAGACCUACUGUAAAUCAUGGAAAAUUGUCUACACCCAAGGCAGCUCAUUUAGCUUUAAAAUAAUUAGAAUAUAUCUUCAGAGAAUUUUUUUUAAAGAAAUACCAUAAAUUCUGUGAUCCUCACACAAUGGAGUGUGCUUGACUCUUUUAAAGGCAUUAAUUUGUAUUUAUUACAACAAAACUAAGGAAAAACCUUGACUUUUUGUUAACAUUAAAUGGGUAAAUAGUCUAAUAAAAAGGCAUAAUGAGCGCAAUGUCUCAGAUCCCUCCUGUUUACAAGAGCUGAAAGCCUUAAAGCUUGGAAGAUUUUAAUCAAGACUUCCAUUAACCACCCCGUGAAUAUCCAAGGGACGGCUGGAAUUUAAACAAAGAAGGAAGUAGAAUGCUUUUAAAAUGACUUAAUGUAAUUCAGUAUUAUGAUAUGUAACAGUUUUAGCCAUUAAACAACAGGUGACACGUCAGAGCCAAGCAUUUGUCUUUCUUCUCAGUGACAAUACAUCAAGUAAGACAUACAAUAGGUCAGAUCUAAAAGAAAUCAUCAGUAAAUAAGAACAACAAUCUAGGAAAAUAAUUAUGACAGUUCUUGUAUACAAUGCAUCAAUCCCCUAGGCAAAGUACAUAUGGUAGACAUUUUAAAUGACUAUACGAGAGAUUGUGUGUAUUUUUCUUUUACAUUUAUUUACACAAUUAAAUGUGUUGUUUUUGUUUAUUUUAUACUUUAAUAUCCCCUUCUUCUCUAAAGAUCCUUACUUAACCAUUCUUUUAGGCUAGCAUUACCAUGACACAUGAGCAUACAUGUUCUUGGGGUGUUUCUGAACUCUAUUAGUUAGAAAGAAACUUAGACAUACACAGAGGAGCUUAAACUCAAAACUGUCAAAACAGCAUCCUUCCCUAAAAGUGGGGAUCAAAUUAUGUUUAGCUGGAGCCACAAAACUAAGUUUGUAUUUAAUUUCUGCUUAGAUUUGUUUUCUUUGAUUGUUCUCCACAUUUCUCAAAGACUACUUUUCAACACCCAAGAGAUAAACAGCCAAUCCACAGACUCUUCAUUUAAGGAGUGCAUUAAGUAGACAUUAUUAAAAGUAAUCCUGAAAUAAUACAGUCAUAUACAUACAAGUCACCCUAAAUUGACUGUGCAAACUGUAUUUAUAUAUUUUAGUGUGCACACAUGCCCACAACACACGCACGCACACACACAUACACACACACACACGCACACACAGAGCACACCCACGCACAAACGAAAACACAAGCACAUGUAACAUUAGCAAAUAAAGAAAAAAAGGCAGUGAUUUCAUGAGGCAAAAGGGAGUCGGGUACAUAGAAAAGAUUGCAGGGAGAAAAGGAAAGGACAGAAAUUCUAUAAUUAUAUUUUGAUUAAGAAAAAAAUUUAAAGGUUCUCUAAACCAUACUUAGAUUUAUCCAGGAGAACUGACAUCUGUCUUUUGAGCUGAUCUACUGAACCAGUCUGGUGAACAUUCUCUCUCUUCUUAAUCUACAAACAAGUCAAAGCCCUCCUAUCUACAACUUGUCCAUGUUGAUAGUGUUUCUAGGAUAUUUUGUACAAACUAGGCUUGCAAGUACUCAACACAAGUGAAAGUCAAUUCAUUUGAACUCCUUUCAGCCCAUCUGUUCUCUAAAAGAGGUGGCAUUCUCAAAUAUCCCUUAGCUAGCUUUCAAUUAUAAUUGCGAGAUAGUCACCUGAGAGAGACUUUGCUGCUGCUACAUAAAUGUAUUGUUUUCCAAGUUUUUACAGUUAUGAGUUUUCUCCCUAUAAUAACAUAUAAAGAAAAUGUUAGGGUUUCUACUCCUGAACUACCACUGUGGGACAAUUUUAACUAAGGAAAGUCCAGAAAUGAUGAAGUUUUCCUAUUUCCCAGGAAUACAUAUGCAUAGCUUGGUAAAGCGACCUAUACCAGCCAAUAAAGGCCUCUACUGUGUCAUCCCACAAACUAGCUUAAUUAUAGGGACACCAAAUCAAACUGUUUGAAAUCGAAGGAAAGAUGCAAUUAUUGAUCUGCAAAGAUAUCUGGUGCUGCAGCACUUAGAAUAAUAAAAACUGCAAAUGUCCAACUAUAAGGAACAGAUCAUUUUCUCUAGAAUAUAUGCUGACUUUCCAAAAGGUAUGUAUUUUAUUGUAAAAUAAAAUCAGAUGGUAUUUUAAUAAUGAACAUAAAAUUCCACAUUGGUGAUUUUUAUGUCUUUGUGAGUGUAUACAUAUGUGUACCGACCAAAAGGUAUAUUGAAUAUGUUGAAUAUCUGUUCUUUCAUUCUUCCAUACCUAAGCUGCACGAUAUCUAUAAUGAAUACAUAUUUUUAUUGGAAGAGAAAAUGUUAAAUGCUAAUUUAAUCUGCUUUGUUCUGUUCUUAGUUUUCCCUGGACUUUUUCAUCUCUCUCCCUGCCCUCAAGCUAGAGGCUACCAAGGAUGCUCAAAAACCACAGGGGCUAAUUAGAAAUACAGCCCCUUUCGUUCUGACCACCCAGACUUCAAAUAGGUCACCUCUGAAUAAUGAGAUAUUAACUCUGAAAGAACAUAAAGAACUGAGAUAGGUUUACAGUUUUAAGAUUUCAGUGGGAUGAAACUGAAUUAUUCACACCCAUUAAACAGAGUUUGAAUGAUUCACAGCCAAUUUUAUUUUUAUAUUUGUAACGAAACAGCUGGAAUUAGAGUCUAUUCAUGGACUCCUAAGAAAUUUGCACCCCACCUACUAAAAUUAGUUUCCUCAUCCAAAAUUCUGAUCAGCACAUCUGAGAAAGAGGAAAACAGACGUUGGUGCUCAAUACCAGCAAACUAAACACUUUUUCCUAUCAUUUUGCCACCAGGGUGACUUUACUUCGCAUUGUAUAUAUUUCUCUUUUCCCCCAAUCAUAGAGCAGCCUCUAAUUACCUGACCUUUUUGCAACAUGAUUAUUCAUAAAGAAGCAUUCUCUUGUUUCAUAUACUAAGCUUAAACAAUGUAUUUUUAAUGCUUCUGAUUAUGUGUGACAGUUGUUUACGUCUCACUAGUUUUCAGCUACUAGAAGAAAACCAUAUUUCCAUUUGUACUUCAGAUACAAUUUUUUUCUCUUCAAAUUUAUUAAGCUUGAAAUAUAAGGUUUGUGUCUUAUAGCCACGUCCACCCAUUGAGUCAUUCACUCAUCCGAAUGUUUAAGAUCCAACAGGAAAUUGACAUGGGCCAAGUAUUUGCCACUUAAAUGAAACUGAACAGAUUGCAGAUCCACUAUCUAGAAUUUUCCAAAGCCUGGGAAAAGGGGGUACCUAAGGGUUGGUUGAAUCCUCCAGGGUCACAUAACUACUUAUUCACAAAUUAUGUUUAUAACACAAAAUCUGCUCUCCCGCACUACAAUACAUUUCCCACUGUAAUACCAGGAGGAACAAGAAAGAAAGCAUGAGAUGAGAAUUAGAAUCAUGAAUUAGUAUUCACCUGUAAAUAAAACCCAGCGGUGUGAUGUGCACACUUCCAAGCCCCAAAUGCAGGGAUUUAGAGGGCUAUUUAAUGGAAGGACGAGAUACCUCAAAAGUUUUCAGAAAUAUUCAACUUCUCUGUGACAUUGAGGCAAACUCUUACACAGACCAACUGCAAUCACACACCAUAGCAUAAAGGUAGUGGAGACAGAGAACUAAAGAGACAUUGAUAUAUCAUAGAAAUCAUCUAAUACAGUCCACAUUUUAUUCAUUCUAGCUAUGUCAUUGAAACAAAAUAUAUGGAAUUUCCCUUAUUACUAAGAAUACAUGCUGUUGUAAAUUUGGAAAAGAAACUAGGCAAGAAUAACUUGUGGAUAUUCUAAAAUAUCAUCAACACUGCCUUUAAUUGCACUGUGUUUUGCAAGGCAUAUUAAAAGUUUACAAAUAAAUUCAAAGGCUAUUUUUUUCUGUAUAAAGGGCUUUUCCUAUGAAAGACAAAUAAUUAAUCUAAGGAAUGUAAGCACCUUUAAAUCUUGAUGUUCAAACUAGAAGACUGGUUUAGCAUACCUUGCUCAAACAUAUGCAAUUGGUAGGAAGCAUAUCUUUGUGAACAUGGAAUUAAGACUGAGCCUCUGUAAUUCUUUUCAAGCACAUAACAAGUGCAAAUGCAAUGUUAGCUUAGAAAAGUUCUUUUCUCUUUCCAAUACUUCAUGAAGACAUAAUAGACAUCGAAUCUGGUAUUCCAAUACUCUCAUGGAGGAAAUAAUUUGUGAUGGAAUAGUAGUAUGUACCCAAUAUAAGACAAUAAAGAUAAACAUCUUUCAAAGAUUGAAGCUAGACUUCUCUUCUCCUGUGCCUUCAAAGCCCACACAAUUGUCUAUAAAGACAUUGAACCUGUACCUAAGAAAAACAAGAUUCACCAAAAUUGAGAGAAAGUAGCCAGAAUAUGACUUCAAAAAUUAUAUAUAUAUAUAUAUAUAUAUAUAUAUAUAUAUAUAUAUAUGAGAGAGACAGAGACAGAGACAGAGACAGAGAAAAGAUCUUCCCCAAAAGAGAAGAUGAUCUACGGGGACUGUUUUCACCUGAAUGGCACAUAAAAUUUUGACCAAGAUUGAAACUAAACUUACCUAAUAACUACUAAACUAUAAACUAUACUGAAGAUACAAUACAAGGUAAUAUAGCCCAAGGUAAUAUGGUCUAUGUUAACAUAGACCAUAAAAAGUUGAUAUCCAAGAUUAUUACUUGUUCUCUCUAUUUUUUUUAAUCAUCCUUAAUACUCCAUUUAUAAGUCAGCAGCCAAUCACUAACAAUUUACUGCAUAUUAUUCUUCACGGUUAUUAUGACUGGAAUAUCUCUAUGAAAGGGGAUCAUUUAAAAAAAACAGUGAGCAAAACAUUAUUAUUAGCUAUUAGACAUAUUUUCUCAUAUAAACUAUGCACCAUUUUAAAAACUAUAUCAAAGAACAAUUAGUACAGGGCAAAUGUGAAUGUGUAUUCUUUAUGAUUGUUUUGUUUAUGUGAUUGGUUAGUUAGUGACUGAGACAGAGCCUCACCACUCUGUAGCCUAGGCUAGCCUGGAACCUACUAUCUCCAUCAAGCUACCCUAGAGCUUUAAAGGGUUCUUUAGAAGUAAAAUUGGAAAUAGUCUAAAUGUUCAUUGGUUAACACAUUAAACAUAUUAUGUAGGUAACUAUAAUAAUAAGGCCUUAAAGCAAAUAUUGUGACACGCCUUUAUGAGCAAGUAAAAACUUCCACAUCAUACUGCUAAAUUUAAAAACAAAUUGUGGAAUGACAAGCUGCAAAUAAAUAAACUAAAUAUGUGAGUGUUCCUAAAAUAUAUAUCCGAUACCAUGUGAACCAAAAAUUACCUGUCCCCACGGUUCUCAUUUUUAUUUAUUUAUUUAUUUAUUUAUUUAUUUAUUUAUUUAUUUAGGUAAUAGACGUGUCACUUGCAAAACUUCAGAACUCUGCUCUUUCGAUAUUAUACAUACACACGUGAGAUGCUGGGUGUACAGAAGAGCAAACUGACUCUGAAAGUGUGUGUAGUCCCCCAAGCACUGAUUAGCAAUCAAAGUUAAGCAGGGGAGGCUAUCAUCUGACAGGCAGGGUAGCCUGUCAUCUCUGCCUUGACAUGCAGUCUGACGUCUGGCAAGCUAUGUGAUAUCGCUGCCUCCAUUUCCUCAUCCAAAUAAAAGGAGCAGAAAUAGUUUGAACUUCAAAGAUUUUGGAUUAAUUAAUAUGAUGGCAUUAAUGUCUUAAUAAAUUAGCUGAAAGGUAAUAGAAAUUGAAAUGACUGCCUAUGUUUUAUCAGUUCCUUCAUUUUAAUGCCUUCCUGGGCAUUAUUUUUUUUUUCUCCUGAAGUAGUUUUGCAGGUUUUGUCUUCUUCAGUGAGAAUUCCAAUUAGACAGCUACAGAGCUGCUCUCAUGAUAUAUUUGAUUAUAAGCUAAGUUCAUGAAGUUAAUUCUCUGAGAAAAGAUUAUUUUACAGGUCAUUUAUCUACCAAGACCUUUCUUUAAAAGCAUGGUUAAGACUAAGUCUUGCAAAAACUUAAAUGAAAUGUAACAUUACAGAAGAAUGUGAUUCAUAUUGUCACGUAUCUUGUGAUGUCUCCACAUAAAUUACUGAUUGUACCAAAAAGCUAGGAUAAAAACACAUCACUGGCAUCCUGCACCCAACAAGUCUUGAGAAAUAGUCAGUAUCCAUGACUUUUUAAAUGUAGGAAAAUUAAAUAUAUUUUAUUUUAAAAACAUGUUUACUAAUCUCUGGUUAACCUUGAUGUUUCAAGUAAGUAAAUUUCCAUAUUUACCCUUUCCUAGUUAAUACACCUAAGUUAAAUUUUUUAAAAAAAGUAAAAGACUGCUACUUUAAAGAGAAAAGACGACGUGGCAAAUUACAUUUGAGAGGCAUCUUCUAGUCUAACGUGAACAAGAAUGUCAAACAUUAAUUUAGUUUAUUUGUUCGAUAAUUAUAAAAACAGAAUUAAGAUGCCUUUUUGUCACUUCUAAGCAGUGGCAACACAGAGAGAAUAUACUAUAAGAUAAAGUGUCGUAGAAUUUUUCUGCAAAGUUACUGCUAGAAGUCACCAUCUAUAAAUGACAUUGCUUCUCCCAAAGGAAGGAAGAAGGUGAUUAAAAAUUCACUGGCCCAUACCUCAUCCUAAUAGCACAUCCCAGUGUAGGAACCCCAGCUUACCAAGGUUCCCUGAGUAACCCAUAGGCCAAUCACAUAACCAUCUCUGCUUAACAAUCUCUAAAAGCUCAUUUAACCCAAGCCUAUAAAGACAGAAAAUUCUGAAGAGGAAAAUGUUUACUCUUUUGGAGGAAACAGUAACAAAAUCCAAACUGAUCACAUAUUAUUUAAGUAUGGUAUUUUCAUGUAAAAUCUACCCCAUUAUAUUAGUUACUGGGGUUUUUUUUUUAAAGGCUAGAGGAACUGGAUUCACAUCAGGAUAUGGCUGAUGGCUGACACACUUCCGAAUCACUGUGCACUCUCUAUGCCUAAAAUGUGGGUCACCUGUAUAUUCUCCCCCCUCCCACACCUAACAAACUCAACAAUGGUUCCCUUUGGGGUUCCUGGUGUCUACUGCCUCAGAUUGUCAGGGCCAGGGCGGUGGGAGUGUGGAGAAGCCAAGCAAAAGGUGAUCAUACAGGAAAUGGCAAACGGACACCGAAGUAAAUGACACCACUCCAUAUUGACUACGGAUCUACACAGUGCAAAAAGAUACAUCUGCUUCCGGUGCCUAGGCAUCUACACCAGACUUUCUAAAUAGUCUAGUUUACAGCAAGGUCUGCUUUAGGAGUGAUAGCAUACUUUUUAGAAAACAUAUUUGAGCCACUGGAGCUAAAUUACAAAAUAAAAUUAGGUUACUAGAAUUCUCGAUAGCAAAACUAAUAAAACCAACCUUGUUUAUGUAUAAUUUCAUUCUUUUCUAUCAUCAGAAAAUUAUAUUUUGCUGUAAAAUAUUAAUGACUAGUAAGAAGGGAAAAAGCUACCUAAACUUUAGCUUAGUAAAUAUGAUUAAAAUAGCAAUGCCCACUAUUACUUACACUAAAUUCAAUUCUUAGGCUUUUAUUUUUAAAAGUACCAAACUGUAUUUAAGUUUAGAUUAUUAAUUUUCCUAACAGUUGCCCUCCCUUUCUCUCCCCGCAAAAAAUGCAUCAGCACAGAGUACAAGAAGAUAAUUAUACAAGAAUCAUACGGUAUCUGGAUAGAUUAAGGAGUAAGGGUUAUGUUUUAUAUUUUUAAUGGGCAAGUAACCUAUCAAUGUGCUUCUGAUGGGAGUCUCACCCACUUGCGUUAGACUCUGCAAGUGUAAAAGGUUCAAAGACGCUGAGGGAAAUGGUUAUUUCCACAGACAUGAAGUCAAUAUUUCCUGUACGAUGACUUAGAUUCUGGUUUGGUUUUCAUUAAAUAUGAAGCAAGGCAAUAAAUAUCUCUUUUCACUUGAGAUCAUCUUGACUUUCAAGGUUCCCAAGGCCUUGUGUCAGUUGUUGUUAAGGUAUUCAUCAUGGGGGCUUGUUUGCAGGGCUGCCGCCAAAAGAACUUUUUUGCAUCUGAAAGGACUCCAGUAUCAGCAGCCUUUAGGCUAUAAAUUUAACACUUGCUACAGAAAAAAGAGAAAUAAGGUCUGCUUUGUACUGCUCGGGGAUCACAUUUACAAGAUGAGCAAAUAAUGCGGCUACUUCUGCUUAUCUGGAGCUCUGAAUCUGAGGACUUCGAAUGAGCUGACAAACAUUAAUUAACUAAGCCACACUGCUGUAAGGAAGGCAGUAAGCAGAUCCUGGGUCAGAGAUAGGUGUUUGGAGUUCCUGCAGGCUCGCCCUGGACGGGUAGUGGCCUGCCACGGAACUCAACUCCCAGAGGCCCACAUCUGAAAGUCUCCACUAAUGCCAAAGCGGUGCAGGGUGUAGAUGUUAAAAUCAGCAAACCUUGAUAAGGAUGUUGAAGCAACAAACCCAAAUCAGCGCCGCCAUGGCUCAGUUUCCCCUUGUGGGCUGAAGGAAGUUCCUCAUAACUAGAGAGCUCCAACCUAAGGAAGAACUGUGUCUGUGCAUGCAUCUAGACACUGUCUCCACAAACGAUUGACUGGAGCCUGGCUGGUGAGUUGCCCUCCUUCCUCCUGAAGACUCAUUCAUCAUAAUUUCCUGUGCUUGGGCAUUUGCUUCAAUGAAAACUCGAUUUGUUACUGGGAAAAUCAUUGUGAUAUUUUAGGUCCAAUUGUUUUCUCCCUAUUUGCGUGCUUCUCUGUUGAACGAUUUCUAUGUCACAAAAGUAACUUCUAUUGUAUGAAUAAAAUCCAGAAUGAUAAAACUGGAAUUAAGAAAAGGUCGAUAUUCGGUCCCCAACUCCAAAAAAAAAAAAAAAGAAAAGAAAAGAAAACAGAAAAAAAAGAAAAGGUCGAUACAACUAUAUUGGUUAUUUGUUUCCCUUAAAAGUAAAUACAUACAUACAUACAUACAUACAUACAUACAUACAUACAUAACACUGGUCAGAUAAAAGGGUGCACAUCUGUACAUAGGCCAAUCAAGAUCAUAACUCACCAUUUAAAUACAGAGGGAAAGGGUAUUUUAAAACAUGUAACUAACUGAAUAUCCCACUUCAGCAUAGGUAAUGUUGAAUAUUUAUAAGUUCUUCACAGGGCCAAAUUGAAAUGUAAAACAUAACUUUUCUAUUUAUUAAACUUGGGUGACUGCUACAGGGAUAAAAUCUUUUUAAAAGCAAAUUGUGCUUUUAACUGUGGACAAUUGUAAUAUAUUUUAUCCAAAAUAUAACAAAAGUUUUACUGAACAAAAAAAAACAUUACUAUUUCCUUAAAGUCACCAAAUACUCAAAGACUUUAUAGUCAUAUUGAUUUCAAUAAAAAGUCUGGCUUUUUAAGAGCAAUUUACAAGGGAAAACUUAAGCAGGUGUGUCCUAUGUCACCAUCUGAGCUCCGUGAUCCACACAGGUGGUAUAAACAAUUUAGAGCUCUUUACCUGUUUACUAUUCAUGCAGCGCAAAAGCAAAGGGCAGUCACCAAAGGAGAACACACACAAGCAAACGUCCUGAUGCCCCAAACAAAGGGUGAGGACUGCUCUAGACCUAGACUCAACAAAAGGGAAAAAUCAAAACAAGCAAACACACAAAGAAACAGGCAAAGGGACCUGAGGCCGAAGAGGGGCAGAUUAUGACAGGGAAGCUCUUCUGGGUGCUUCCUGCUCUACUUGUAGGAAGGGAGCAAACCCUUCCAGCAGCCUGAGUAGAAACACAGUAAUUAUUUAAAAUAAAAUGAAUGUCCUCAGAGAAUGAGUAUCCUGAAUCAACACUAUAGUCACACGCCUAGUCAUUGAAAGUGCUUCCACUUCCUAUCAGUCCUGAACUGAGAAGCCAACACAUUCUAAGUCCUAAAAUCUAGGACAACUUUACUGCAUUUGACUUUUUUCUAUCACUCUGUACAUCUUGCCAGAUGAUUUAAAGUUGUUUUUUUCUCUCGGCAACACAAUUUCUAUAAAAGCAUUUACUAGCUUACCAUCCUGCAUGCUGCUCCCUGUACUGCUCAAACCAAUGAAAAAACGACUUCCAUGUCCUAAGUGAGUUACUAUGGUUACUCUAAGUAAACACAUGCCGGUGAGCAGCUUAUUUCGCACCCCACUCUGCUUUGGAAACUUGAAAGUUAAUGCUCCUCCCUUCACAUAGGUAGAACAUGGGACCUCACUCCAGCCAUCUAUACUUUUAUUGUGCACUUAUAAACAUGAUACUAGUCUGGGGUUUUACAACUACUCAGUAGAACUGCAUUAACUUUGCCUUCAGUAAACAUGGUUCUGAUGCUUUGCAGGGCACUUUCUGCCACAAUGAACAGACAGUAUAUUUCCUAUGAAAAUAAAGCAUUUCCUAUUCCGUCACCAGGAGUAGAAAUCUCCUCAGUCUCUCAUCCAAACAUUUCUCUGCUUGUUAAUGUGACGGAGUUUCUUUCGAAGCUCCUUAAGAUACUACGGAUUUAAAAAGCUGAAUUUCAGUUAAGAAAUCUAACCAAAUAUUGCACCAUGAACCAAACUAGCCCCUCCUUUCUAUUUCAAAUAUCCAAUAGAGUUAGAGAUUCCUAAAAGAAUCGUUAUAGCACAAAGUAUAAAUCUUGAAGAGUCAAGUUUUAUUCAAGUCGCAGACGAAUGAGUCUGGUUUUUGGAAGGUGUGUGUGUGCCUGCACUCUGAGAUGAAGUAGACAGCAGCCUUUAAACCUCAGAAAUCACAAGGAAAGGGACUGAGACGCUCACUGACGACUUCGUUGUGCCGAGGAUAUCCUACGUAAUGUAGAGGAAGUGAAAGGACAGUUGAAAUGGUGCAAUAGAAACUUGCAGUCAGGGAAUUGAGGGAGUAAAGGAACUGAAAAGAACCGAUUGUUUUUAGAAGGUUUUAUCCUCCUCAGCCUGAUCACCACCCUGGCAGGGUUUUCAGUCGGCUGCUUAUUCAACUACUUAUCAUCCCAAAUUCUUGGAAGGAGGCAGGAAAAGUUGACACACUGGAAAUAGUUUAAAAUAAUAAUAAUAAUAAUUUAGAACAACUCAUAGCCAUGCAGAAAUGUCAGUUAUGUGGAAAAGGGAGACCGGAAGAGACUCUAGUGAUCUGAAGGACACCACCCAAGUGUUAAGUGUCAGUGGACACUAAUAACACAUAUAAUACCACUCUCCUGUCAAACAGAAAUCAUAAAAGUUCUCUGUGACAAAAAAAAUCAUGGAGUACUUGAAAAAUUCUCUUUCCCAACAUACAGACAGGUGCGUCUAGCUACGAUUCUACAAUGGAAGUGGUCUUAAAGGAGCGAGCUCCCUGAGGAUACACACUGUUUUCUUUCCAAAGCUACUUGGAGAACAUUUGCUCCUGCCAGAUGACAGGAAAAUGGCUUUGUUUCUUGAUGGUACAAGGUACCCCCAUUUCUAUAUUCAAGGCUUAAAUCUAGGGCUUAACAUCAGGCAGGGAAAGUAACGACUUUCAUAAUUAACUGUGUUACCUCCAAGGGAUGUUCUUUAAGUCUACUUACUCCACGGACACCUGAGACACACAGAGAGGCUUCAGAGAGUCCGAAGGAAGUGAGAACAGAGCAGCUAAGCUAUGCACAGCAAAGAGCUUCUUCUCUGACCUAAGGUCUCUGACCUAUGGGUCAAAGCCCUGGGCAGACUGAACUCCAUUUCCUAACCAGGUGUUUUUGUAAAGUGAACUAGUUUCUGAUCCUGCCUUCUGUGCAGGGACAUAGUUUCCAAACCACCCAGAAAUUACUAAACGUUCUCAGCACUGAGGAAAAAGACUGAACGGUACUCUCUGCCUUGAGCAAAACACAUAAACAGCAUAUGGAAGAUCAUGCAGUUUCAAGAGAUAAUUUCUGAGAGCAUUGAGUCUACGUGGCAGGAACACACUAAUGAAGCUUCCCUUAGUUGUAGUAGAUUCUCUUUCAUGCCCGCUGAUCCCUGUUUCCAUGCCUAAAAGGCCCCGAGAGUGUGAACUAGAAGGAGCUCUUCUCUGGGCAGUGUGUGCAUUUUUAGAUUUUUUUUUUUUUACUUUUUUUUUUCCGGGGCUGGGGACCGAACCCAGGACCUUGCGCUUCCUAGGUAAGCGCUCUACCACUGAGCCAAAUCCCCAACCCCCGCAUUUUUAGAUUUUAUUCAUCGUUUUCAUCCUUUCUGACAACUGAACUAUAGGCAUUGGUGUGAGUGAGUUUGUGUGUGUGUGUGUGUGUGUGUGUGUGUGUGUGUGUGUGUGUGUGCUUGUGUGUGAAGAGUUAAGAAA